rnacentral:rRNA from 1 species
CGGGAAACCGGAGCUAAUACCGGAUAAUAUUUCAACCGCAUGGUUCGAUAGUGAAAGAUGGUUUUGCUAUCACUUAUAGAUGGACCCGCGCCGUAUUAGCUAGUUGGUAAGGUAACGGCUUACCAAGGCGACGAUACGUAGCCGACCUGAGAGGGUGAUCGGCCACACUGGAACUGAGACACGGUCCAGACUCCUACGGGAGGCAGCAGAC